GGGCCGUCCCGGAUGUCCCCCAAAUCUCAGCGCCCCAUAAGGGGGGGCAAAGCCGGAGCCCCUCCCCCACCCCAAGGUGAGACCCCCAGCUUUGGGGGUUUGGGGUUUUUUGGGGUCGCUUUGGGGUUUUUUGGGGUCGCUUUGGGGUUUUUUGGGGUCAGUUUGGGGUUUUUGGGGGUCACUUUGGGGUCGCUUUGGGGGUUUUUGGGGGCGCUUUGGGGUCGCUUUGGGGUUUUUUGGUGUCGCUUUGGGGUUUUUGGGGGUCGCAUUGGGGUUUUUUCGGGUCAGUUUGGGGUUAUUGGGGUCGCUUUGGGGUUUUUGGGGUUGGUUUGGGGUAUUUUGGGGGUCGCUUUGGGGUUUUUUCGGGUCGCUUUGGGGUUUUUGGGGUCAGUUUGGGGUUUUUUGGGGUCACUUUAAUGUCGCUUUGGGGUCUUUUGGGGUCGUUUUGGGGUUUUUGGGGUCACUUUGGGGUCAGUUUGGGGUUUUUGGGGUCGCUUUGGGGUUUUUGGGAUCGGUUUGGGGUUUUUUGAGGUCAGUUUGGGGUUUUUGGGGGUCGCUUUGGGGUUUUUUGGUGUUGCUUUGGGGUUUUUGGGGGUCGCUUUGGGGUUUUUUGGGGUCAGUUUGGGGUUUUUGGGGUCGCUUUGGGGUUUUUGGGGUCACUUUGGGGUUUUUUGGGGUCGCUUUGGGGUUUUUUGAGGUCAGUUUGGGGUUUUUGGGGUCGGUUUGGGGUUUUUUGGUGUCGCUUUGGGGUUUUUGGGGUCGCUUUGGGGUUUUUGGGGUCGGUUUGGGGUUUUUUGGUGUCGCUUUGGGUUUUUUCGGGUCAGUUUGGGGUUUUUGGGGUCGUUUGGGGGUAAAUUUGGGGCGAUUUGGGGUUUUUUGGAGGCCAUUUGGGGUCGCUUUGGGGUUUUUUGGGGUCAGUUUGGGGUUUUUUGGGGGCCAUUUGGUGUCGCUUUGGGGUUUUUUGGUUUCGCUUUGGGGUUUUUUGGGGUCAGAUUUGGGGU
rnacentral:lncRNA from 1 species